rnacentral:rRNA from 1 species
UACGGGAGGCAGCAGUGGGGAAUAUUGCACAAUGGGCGCAAGCCUGAUGCAGCCAUGCCGCGUGUAUGAAAAAGGCCUUCGGGUUGUAAAGUACUUUCAGUCGUGAGGAAGGUGUUAAGGUUAAUAACCUUAGCAAUUGACGUUAGCGACAGAAGAAGCACCGGCUAACUCCGUGCCAGCAGCCGCGGUAAUACGGAGGGUGCGAGCGUUAAUCGGAAUUACUGGGCGUAAAGGGCACGCAGGCGGUUAAUUAAGUUGGAUGUGAAAUCCCCGGGCUUAACCUGGGAAUGGCAUUCAAGACUGGUUAGCUAGAGUCUUGUAGAGGGGGUAGAAUUCCAUGUGUAGCGGUGAAAUGCGUAGAGAUGUGGAGGAAUACCGGUGGCGAAGGCGGCCCCUGGACAAAGACUGACGCUCAUGUGCGAAAGCGUGGGGAGCAAACGAGGGAUUUAGAUACCCG